UGUUUCCAUUAAUCAAGAACGAAAGUUAGAGGUUCGAAGGCGAUCAGAUACCGCCCUAGUUCUAACCAUAAACGAUGCCAGCCAGCGAUCCGGCUGUGUUCCUCAAAUGACACGCCGGGCAGCUUCCGGGAAACCAAAGCUUUUGGGUUCCGGGGGGAGUAUGGUUGCAAAGCUGAAACUUAAAGGAAUUGACGGAAGGGCACACAAGAAAUGGAGCCUGCGGCUUAAUUUGACUCAACACGGGGUAGCCUACCUGGCCCGGACACAGGAAGGAUUGACAGAUUAAGAGCUCUUUCUUGAUUCUGUGGGUUGUGGUGCAUGGUCGUUCUUAGUUGGUGGAGCGAUUUGUCUGGUUUAUUCCGAUAACGAACGAGACUCUAGCCUACUAAAUAGACGCUUCCGAUCCUUGUAGUCGGACGUUCUUCUUAGAGGGACAAGCGGUGUCUAGCCGCACGAGACAGAGCAAUAACAGGUCUGUAUGCCCAUAGAUGUUCGGGGCCGCACGCGCGCUACAAUGAAGGAAUCAGCGUGUGCUUUCCCUGUCCGACAGGACUGGGUAACCCGUUGAAACUCCUUCGUGCUGGGGAUAGGGAUUUGAAAUUGUCUCCCUUGAACCAGGAAUUCCCCGUAAGUGCUUGUCAUAAGCAAGCGUUGAUUACGUCCCUGCCCUUUGUGCACACCGCCCGUCGCUAUUACCGAUUGAAUUAUUUAGUGAGGUCUUCGGACUGGCGCUCGGAUUGGCCUUCUGGUCGAGCCGAGUGCCGGAAAGAUGACCAAAC
rnacentral:rRNA from 1 species